AAAACAACUCUCAGCAACGGAUAUCUUGGCUCUUGCAACGAUGAAGAACGCAGCGAAAUGCGAUACGUAGUGUGAAUUGCAGAAUUCCGCGAAUCAUCGAAUCUUUGAACGCAAGUUGCGCCCGAGGCUUGUCCGAGGGCAUUUCCGCUAGAGCGUCACC
rnacentral:rRNA from 1 species